GUUUCCAAAUCAUAUCUAGAAGCCCUCUUUUUUAGACUCAUUUUAAUUAACCAUAUUUUACUGGUUGCCAUGGACUUGUCAUCAUGGUUCAUGCAGGUGACUGGAUAUCACCUGAUAUAUAAAUCAUCUUUUUCUUUUCUUCUUUUUUUCUUUAAGACCUUACUUCCAAGAAAAUACAUGGAAAAUAAAGAAAAAGCACAUAAUUUUGUUACUAAACAGCAAGUAAUUAAAAAAGAAACCAAUAAAGAAAAGGGACAGGCAAAGAAAUUGAUGAAAGGAAAAAGAGUCACUUACAGGAGAGACAGGAGCUGGAGAGGAGGAGGAACGGAAGGAGGUGGGUAAGAAUUGAAAAUGGUAGGCUGAUUUGUAGGAGAGAAAGCAUGAAACUGCAACAAGUGAUCCUACGAACACAAGCCCUAUUCUGCUGAUGCUGAUAUGGUUUCUCCAAGAACUUGAGGCCUUGCUGCUGCUGAUUAUGUUUUCUUCAUCUGAUGGAUUCUUCAUUUUCUUGUUUUCUCCAUCCAAGGAAGUAAGAAAUACAACAAAACAAAACAGUCUUUUUCUUCCUUCUGUAUGGUUUUAGAUUGGUGGAUUUAAUGAGAGCUUCGUAAAAUAUGUGUGUAUAUAUAUAUAUGCCAUCUAUCUGUAAUGCGUUGAAUAUUCUGUGGUGACGACGACCCAAAUGGGUCAUUAAAAGGGACUGUAAUCUUUUCUUUUCUUUUUUGAGAAAGAGAGACUGUAAUCUUUGAUUAAGUAAGAUAGAGAGAGAGGGGCUAACACAAGGAUGAGUAAGUAAUACAAAAAGGGGCCUAGCCAAUCAGAGUUUAGUCGUAUUUAUUUUAUUUAUUUAUUAUUUUGGCAGUUCUUGAGUAAUCUAAACGAAAUAUUUUAUUAA
rnacentral:lncRNA from 1 species